rnacentral:rRNA from 1 species
AAAGCGUGCGCAGGCGGUUUUGUAAGACUGUCGUGAAAUCCCCGGGCUCAACCUGGGAAUGGCGAUGGUGACUGCAAGGCUAGAGUUUGGCAGAGGGGGGUAGAAUUCCACGUGUAGCAGUGAAAUGCGUAGAUAUGUGGAGGAACACCGAUGGCGAAGGCAGCCCCCUGGGUCAAAACUGACGCUCAUGCACGAAAGCGUGGGGAGCAAACAGGAUUAGAUACCCGUGU